rnacentral:rRNA from 1 species
GACGAACGCUGGCGGCGUGCUUAACACAUGCAAGUCGAACGGAAAGGCCCUGCUUUUGUGGGGUGCUCGAGUGGCGAACGGGUGAGUAACACGUGAGUAACCUGCCCUUGACUUUGGGAUAACUUCAGGAAACUGGGGCUAAUACCGGAUAGGAGCUCCUGCUGCAUGGUGGGGGUUGGAAAGUUUCGGCGGUUGGGGAUGGACUCGCGGCUUAUCAGCUUGUUGGUGGGGUAGUGGCUUACCAAGGCUUUGACGGGUAGCCGGCCUGAGAGGGUGACCGGCCACAUUGGGACUGAGAUACGGCCCAGACUCCUACGGGAGGCAGCAGUGGGGAAUAUUGCACAAUGGGCGGAAGCCUGAUGCAGCAACGCCGCGUGCGGGAUGACGGCCUUCGGGUUGUAAACCGCUUUCGCCUGUGACGAAGCGUGAGUGACGGUAAUGGGUAAAGAAGCACCGGCUAACUACGUGCCAGCAGCCGCGGUGAUACGUAGGGUGCGAGCGUUGUCCGGAUUUAUUGGGCGUAAAGGGCUCGUAGGUGGUUGAUCGCGUCGGAAGUGUAAUCUUGGGGCUUAACCCUGAGCGUGCUUUCGAUACGGGUUGACUUGAGGAAGGUAGGGGAGAAUGGAAUUCCUGGUGGAGCGGUGGAAUGCGCAGAUAUCAGGAGGAACACCAGUGGCGAAGGCGGUUCUCUGGGCCUUUCCUGACGCUGAGGAGCGAAAGCGUGGGGAGCGAACAGGCCUAGAUACCCUGGUAGUCCACGCUGUAAACGGUGGGUACUAGGUGUGGGGUCCAUUCCACGGGUUCCGUGCCGUAGCUAACGCUUUAAGUACCCCGCCUGGGGAGUACGGCCGCAAGGCUAAAACUCAAAGGAAUUGACGGGGCCCCGCACAAGCGGCGGAGCAUGCGGAUUAAUUCGAUGCAACGUGUAGAACCUUACCUGGGUUUGACAUGGAUCGGGAGUGCUCAGAGAUGGGUGUGCCUCUUUUGGGGUCGGUUCACAGGUGGUGCAUGGCUGUCGUCAGCUCGCGUCGUGAGAUGUUGGGUUAAGUCCCGCAACGAGCGCAACCCUUGUUCACUGUUGCCAGCACGUUAUGGUGGGGACUCAGUGGAGACCGCCGGGGUCAACUCGGAGGAAGGUGGGGAUGACGUCAAGUCAUCAUGCCCCUUAUGUCCAGGGCUUCACGCAUGCUACAAUGGCCGGUACAGAGAGUGGCGAGCCUGUGAGGGUGAGCGAAUCUCGGAAAGCCGGUCUCAGUUCGGAUUGGGGUCUGCAACUCGACCUCAUGAAGUCGGAGUCGCUAGUAAUCGCAGAUCAGCAACGCUGCGGUGAAUACGUUCCCGGG